GAGACAGGGUCUCGCUCUGUUACCCAGGCUGGGGUGAAGUGGCAUGAUCAUGGCUCACUGCAACCUUGACCUCUCAGGCUCAAGUGAUCCUCCCACCUCAGCCUCCCAAGUAGCUGGGACUACAGGCACACACCAACACACCUGGCUAAUUUUUAAAUUUUUUUUGUAGAGACAGGGUCUCACUAUAUUGCCUAAACUGAUCUUGAUCUCCUGGACUCAAGCGAUCCUCCCACCUUGGCCUCCCAAAGUGCUGGGAUUACAGGUGUAAACCGCCGUGCCCAGCAAUUUUUAAUUUUUUGUAGAGAUGGGAUCUCCCUUUGUUUGUUGCCCAAGCUGGUCUCAAACUCCUGGGCUCAAGCGAUCCUCCUGCGUCAGCCUCCCAAAGUGAGAUUACAGGUAGAAACCACUAAAAAACAAUUUUUUAUCUUCAGCUUUUAAGGGGUACAUAUGCAGGAUGUGCAGGUUUGUUACAUAGGUAAAUGUGUGGUGUGGUGGUUUGCUGUACAGAUCAUCCCAUCACCUAGAUGUUAAGCCCAGCAUCCAUUAGCUAUUCUUCCUGAUUCUCUCCCUCCCCUCCUCAACAGGCCCCAGUGGCGUGUUGUUCCCCCUAUGUGUCCAUGUGUUCUCACCAUUCAGCUCCCACUUAUAAGUGAGAAUAUGCACUGUUUGGUUUUCCGUUCCUGCCUUAGUUUGCUAAGGAUAACGGCCUCCAGCUCCAUGCAUAUCCAUGCAAAUGACAAGAUCUUGUUCUUUUUUAUGGCUGCAUAGUAUUUCAUGGUGUGUAUAUAUAUGUGUACAGUAUUUUAUUUGUCCAGUCUAUGAUGGACAUUUGGAUGGAUUCCACAUAUUUGCUAUUGUGAAUAGUGCUGCAGUGAACAUACGCAUCCAUGUAUCUUUAUAAUAGAAUGAUUUAUAUUCCUUUGGAUAUAUACCCAGCAAUGGUAUUGCUGGGUCAAAUGGUAUUUCUGCUUUUAGAUCUUUGGGGAAUUGCCACACUGUCUUCCACAAUGGUUAAACUAAUUUACACUCCCAGCAACAGUGUAAAGGUGUUCCUUUUCCUCCACAACCUCGGAAGCAUCUGUUAUUUUUUUUUUUUUUGACAUUUUAAUAAUUGCCAUUCUGACUGGUGUGAGAUGGUAUUUCAUUGUGGUUUUGAUUAGGAUUUCUCUAAUGAUCAGUGAUGUUGAGCUUCUUUUCAUAGGUUUGUUGGCCAUAUGCAUGUCUUCUUUUGAGAAGUGUCUGUUCAUGUCCUUUGCCCACUUUUUAAUGGGGUUUUUUCUUGUAAAUUUGUUUAAGUUAUUUGUAGACUCUGGAUAUUAGACUUUUGUCAGAUGGACAGAUUGCAAAAAUGUUCUCCCAUUCUGUAAGUUGUCUACUUGCUCUGGUGAUAGUUUCUUUUGCUGUGCAGAAGCUCUUUAGUUCAAUUAGAUCCCAGUCGUCAAUUUUUGCUUGUGUUGCAAGUGAUUUUGGUAUUUGCAUUAUAAAAUCUUUGCCUGUGCCUAUGUCCCAGAUAGUAUUGCCUAGAUUUUCUUCUAGGGAUUUUAUAGUUUUGGGUUUUACAUUUAAGUCUUUAAUCCAUCUGGAACUAAUUUUUGUAUGAAGGUGUAAGGAAAGGGUUCAGUUUCAAUUUUCUGCAUACGGCUAGCCAGUUCUCCCAGCACCAUUGAUUAAAUAGGGAGUCCUUUCCCCAUUGCUUGUUUUUGUCAGGUUUGUUGAAGAUCAGAUGGUUGUAGGUGUGCUAAAUUCUUAAUACUGGGGUAAUAUUAAUUAGUUUAUUUUUACUUUCACUAGCUUUGAACCUAUUUAAAAUGUUGUUUGUUUUUAAAUUAGUAUCAUCUUUUUAAAUCCUAUGUAAAAAGUUUCCCUUCAGGUAGGCAACUCACUCCUACCACAGAAGUUGAUUGCAGGCCCACAUAUAUAGGCACAAGCUGGGUCAUUCCCAAUUUCCAAACCAAUCUUACCUAAAAGUCUUUUUUCCUCUAAGGUGUUCCCUAGAUUGAAUAUUUUCAUGAAAACAGAAACAUUAGCUUUCAUCAGGGUCUCUACGUCACAAGGCCAAGUUCAGAUGCUGAACACACAUGAAUGGUCAGUGUGUGAACAGUGUCUGAAUGCAGUAGAGCUCUGGUGGGUGCCACUAGGACUUCUGCCCAAUUAAGUGUUUUCCUCUUCUCAAUAAGGUCCAAAGUUUUCCUACAGAAAAGCAAAGCAAGACAUAAAGCAUAGUACAUGGUGAUUAUUUGAAUUGUUGAGAAAUGGAAAAUGGUAUAAGCUAUAAUGGCUUAUCAUUAGUUUAUCAAAUAUUUACUAAAUA
rnacentral:lncRNA from 1 species